UUUUGGACGAAACGAAAGGUAGGUUAACAGAAGGGGGUUUUUGUCUCACUGUCUUAGUACAGGAGGUUUUCGUUGCAAAAAAAGGUAAUAAGAAAAGGUGUUCGGAUCCGAUCGGCUACCGAAAAGUAAAAGAGCGAGCUCUGUGAAACCGAUCCCACCCAGAAGCUUCAUUUUCUUUGUAGUUUAUGCUUGACUCGUGAGGAAAGAGGAUUCUUUUCUUUUUCCUAUUUGGCAGUCGACACUUGCAAGUUGCAACCCAACAGCCGAUGCCCGAGGGUACUUGCCGUUAAACACCACUGCUCUCUCUCUCUCUCUCUCUCUCUCUUUGAGUUUGUGGUAGUCGCUUUGUGUCGGAAGUCGGAAGGGACCGGAAGAACUGGUUUAUGCCGUUUCCUUCAUGAUAGUGGUAGUGGUGUUCCUCAUACACCUUCCUCACGAAAAUAUUUACAUAAAAAUAAGGAAAAAAAACUGAAAUUGAAGUGUCAGAUUUCAUGUCAUUGGGUUCUACUGGCAUGAAUCCUUGAGGUUGGUUGCAUGAUAUGCUUUAGCCGGUGGUAUUAAGGAAAAUACCAGAGAAAAUAUUCAGAAGAACAAUAAAAGAGAUCUCUCAAAUCUUAAAGGUGAAAGAGAAGAGUUAAACCAAUGGAUCUUGGGUUAAGAUUAAGUUGUUUCACUUCGCCGGAGAAAUAUACUAACUUGUGGGCGGCGAAGGCGAUGUUCUUUGUGUAAGGGUUUCGUUUCUCCGGAAUUGACCUAUCUGAUCGAUGGAACUCAAAAAAAGAGUUGAAUAAUGUUUAAGGAUUUUGUUGGGGUUCAUCUCGCCCCCAGGACCUUGAAGCGGACAGUCACAGAUGACAGAACAUCCCAACUCGGUCCGAACAUCGAAGGAAGCUUCAAUGAUAUGAUGAUGUCAUCGUCUAUCCCAACAAGUAAUCGGUUUAAUUGUUAACCCGUCAAUCCUUUGUCUCCGUUUCUUGUUUCUACACAAAGGGCCGACGACGCAACACAAAGGAUUCUGCCACAGAAGAGAACGAGGGCUACGAUCAAUCUAUUCCUAUUUGCAUCGUCCGAUCUCAUAUUCAGGGAUGGCCUGCUUUAGUAGUAAUAUCUGGUUCCCUCUCUCUCUCUCUCGAUCUCUCGUUUUGAAACUUUAAUAUUUUCAACUUUUCAUCCUUGUCAGCUGCUGAAUUCUCCGAACAUAUAAGAAAAAAAACUACAAACCUAGGAAAAAAUAUUGCAACACGGAAUUCACAAAAGAAAAAGGAAAGGCUAGUCUGAACCGAAAUUUAAUGCCAUCAGUUCAUCACAGAGAAUUGAAACCUUGUGUGUUAAAGACUCUAUUUAUCAAUCUCAUAGAGAAGGAAGUGACCAGAAUCUGAAAUCAAGUUUGAAUCCGCGAAGACAUUAUAGAUUGCGAAUAAAAUCGGCCAGAAACUGAUAUUGCUCUAAGGAAGAAAACGGACUCCAGAUUCGAUCUUUUGCAGCAUUUGUUAGUGUUCUUGAUAUUUGUUCCGAGUCUUCCGAUUCGUUUCUCAACCAGAUCGUAAUUCGGAAGUUUAUGGCUGAGCGUAGGGAUUUUGCAUCGCUUGCGACCGCCCAAGUCCUACAAAACAUUAUCAGUAAAAGUCUUGCUAGAGGUUAAAAAAUAUUAUUUAUUUAAAAUAAUCCCGCCGGUCGGUUGCCGCUGCGUGUAUCUAAAUUCGACCGUCGUGCGACAGCAACCGUCAUUAAAGGAAUGGUGCCGUGAAACAUGGUGGUCAAGCAUAGAUUACCUACUUUUUUGCGUGUCAUCGUUGGGUUAAAAAAUUCUGAUAAGGGCUGAUUGGUACUUGUUCCAAAAAAGAAAGAGUGGGAGCAUGUAUUGUCCCAUCACUCAGAUGGCAACCAGAAGCUUCGCCCUCUUUUUCUCUGUAUUUUUUCGUAGUUCUGAAAUUUCUGACAUCGUGACAUGUGAGGAAAGAUGAAAGAGACUGCGGUGCCAAUGAAACUUCUGGGCAGCUUUCAUUGCAGUGAGCUGUGAACGUCAACAUAUAACGCAAAGCAAAGUUGGAGUUUGAAUCCAUGGGAAUCGCCAUUGCCGGGCGCUAACUAAUGCGCUAUGUCGGUGUAAGAAUAAAAUGGCGCAGGGUGCCAAAGAAAAAUUGCUUGCAAUCUCUGAGGCAGUAGGUGCGAGAGUGUGGGUAAGAGCAGAGAAAGUGAAAGUGAAGCUGCCUUCCCUUCUUCCCGUGAGAAACGUAGUACCAGUACCACAUGAAGUUCGGACUCGACCUGAAGAAUUGAUCUAUGCACUUUCCUUCAUGAUAGUGAUUUCCCUCAUACAACUUCCCUACGAAUAUAUUGACGGCAACCCAAUCCCGACCGUUAUUUUUAAGGGCCAACCCACUACUUUUCAUGCUUUUAUCUUAUCCCUCGUCUUUUCAUUCUCGGGUUCGGCGUGUGCUAUGAUGUUGAGAGAACACUACCCCAAGGCCGCCGGAUACUGUCGCCGUUUCGGUCUAUUUGCUUUCUCACUUGCUUUUUCUGUUUUCCUGUGGGCUGCCAUCCCCGACGCCUUCCGGCUGCUGUCGUCCCUUACCUCCUCUUCUUAAUUAAGUUUAUAUCAUAUAUAUUAUAUAUAAUUUGUCGUUGUUGUUAUUGUAUAAAUGAAUAACAGCAAGAAAAUUGCAAGAUUGUUCUACUAAAUAUGGAUGGUUGCAUGCGCGUCCCUCCCGGUCCCGGGUCCCGGGUCCCGGCUGAAUUUUAGUCUUUUUAUUUUAUAUAUGGAUGGUUGCAUUUGCAUGUGCGUCACAUGCACUUGCUUUUCUAUAUUAUUGGGAUUAUGUCAUUAUGAUUUAAUUA